rnacentral:rRNA from 1 species
ACAAAAAGAAAUGUCUAUGACCUAAGUAGCGUGAGCGAAAAGGGUAUACGCGUGAACAGUACCGAGAGGGAAAACACUUUAAGAAGUGUAUAUAGAAAAACUAUUAAAGCACAGGUGAAGCCUGGUACCUUUUGCAUUAUGGUUGUAUGAGAGAUAAAAAUAUAUAUUGUAUCCCGAAGCGGUGUGAUCUACCUUUGGGAGGAAGGAUAGCGUUGUAAAGCUAUGGACUUACCUAAAGGUAGGGGCGAGAUACCUAACGCACAUCGUGAUAGCUGGUUCCCCCAGAAAGGCGCCUUAGUGCUGCGGUUAAUGAAUACUUAAGGUAUGUAGAACCAAUAGAUAAACAUUGAUCAGUUGGGACACGGGGGAUAAUCUCCUUGUUCUGGGUAUGGUUAGAAGGAGGGUCGAUAAUCUUUAAAGUAGGCUUAUAAGUAGCCAUCUAGAAAUCUUGUUACAAAGAAGAGCGGACCUAAUAAAAAUUCUUAGUUUAUAAGAUAAACCUUACGUAAUAUGGGGGUGUUCUGCCAAAUUAUAGCAGCAGAAGCAAGAAUUUAUGAAUUAGUAGUCAAUUAAGGGAAUAAGUAGGGUGACAUUUCGGGGUGGCCCUAAGAAUAUAAGCCCCUUUUAUAAUAAAAAUGCUAAUAAGGAACUCGGCAAAUUUGGCCAUCACGCCUGUUUAUCAAAAACAUGGCCCUUUGACGAUCAAAUUGGGUCGUACCUGCACAAUGGCUUCCUACAGGAGGUUAAAUUGCCGCGGUACCCUGACCGUGCAAAGGUAGCGAAAUAAUUUGCCUAUUAAUUGUUGGCCAGAAAUGAAUGGUGUGACGCUGGUGGCGCUGUCUCGUUAGCAUUUAUUUGAAUUUGACUUUUGGGUGAAAAGGCCCAAAUAAACCUGAAAGACGAUUAGACCCUAUCGAACUUUAAGUAGACCUGUUUCAGAGAUAAAACUUUGAAAAUGAGCAAGCUUUUGGUUGGGAAAACCGGAGGUAAGAAAAACCACCUCCUCCCUUUGAGACACCUGUUAGUAUGGGGUAAUAGAGACUUUACCUUAAGGGCAAUUGGCCUGAUGGAAAGUAAUUGAGUAGAAGAAUAAUAAAGGUCCGACAGGACAUAGAUAACUUAUAAAAUGAACCUAAAGACUUGUUGAAUGUAGCGAGAACCUGUUAAGUAGGAAUAGUUACCGUAGGGAUAACAGCGUAAUCUUCCCGGCGAGACCACAUUAAGGGGAGGGUUUGCGACCUCGAUGUUGGCUUGGGGCCUCCUAGAGGCGAAGAGGCUUCUAAGGGUUGGUCUGUUCGACCAUUAAAGCCCUACGUGAGCUGAGUUCAGAUCGGCGUGAGCUAGGUCGGUUUCUAUCUUCAGAAUGUGUAAAAUAAACGGUUGUACGAAAGGACCCUGGUUAUGGAAUAUUUCCGAAAAAAGAUAUAGUGUAAUUUGAAUAACUAGAAAAUA